AUUGAACGCUGGCGGCGUGCCUAACACAUGCAAGUCGAGCGGUAACAGGUGUAGCAAUACAUGCUGACGAGCGGCGAACGGGUGAGUAAUGCUUUGGAAUCUUCCCAGUAGUGGGGAAUAACCAGUCGAAAGAUUGGCUAAUACCGCAUACGUCUGUAAAGGGAAAGCGGGGGCUCGUAAGACCUCGCGCUAUUGGAUGAGCCAAAGUCGGAUUAGCUAGUUGGUGGGGUAAUGGCCUACCAAGGCGACAAUCCGUAGCUGGUCUGAGAGGACGACCAGCCACACCGGAACUGAGACACGGUCCGGACUCCUACGGGAGGCAGCAGUGGGGAAUAUUGGACAAUGGGGGAAACCCUGAUCCAGCGACGCCGCGUGUGUGAAGAAGGCCUGCGGGUUGUAAAGCACUUUUAGUGGGGACAAAAAGCUACGGAUUAAUACUCUGUGGUCUUGAUUUAACCCAAAGAAAAAGCACCGGCUAACUCUGUGCCAGCAGCCGCGGUAAUACAGAGGGUGCGAGCGUUAAUCGGAAUUACUGGGCGUAAAGCGCGCGUAGACGGUUUUGUAAGUCAGAUGUGAAAUCCCUGGGCUCAACCUGGGAACUGCAUUUGAAACUGCAU
rnacentral:rRNA from 1 species